AGGGAAACAGCCCAGAUCGCCAGCUAAGGUCCCUAAGCGUGUACUAAGUGGAAAAGGAUGUGGGGUCGCGAAGACAACCAGGAGGUUGGCUUAGAAGCAGCCACCCUUGAAAGAGUGCGUAAUAGCUCACUGGUCAAGUGAUCCUGCGCCGACAAUGUAGCGGGGCUCAAGUACACCACCGAAGCUGCGGCAUUCACACAAUGCACCCGCUUGAUUCUGCGGAGUCUUGGGCAGUGGUGUGGAUGGGUAGGGGAGCGUCGUGUGGCCAUGGAAGCGGCAGGGUGACCUAGCCGUGGAGGCCACACGAGUGAGAAUGCAGGCAUGAGUAGCGAAAGACGAGUGAGAAACUCGUCCGCCGAAUGACCAAGGGUUCCUGGGCCAGGUUAAUCCGCCCAGGGUGAGUCGGGACCUAAGACGAGGCCGACAGGCGUAGCCGAUGGACAACGGGUUGAUAUUCCCGUACCCGUGUGAACGCGCCCCUGGUGAAUCAGUGAUACUAACCAUCCUGAAGCGUCCUUACGCCCCUUCGGGGGCCCUGGAUGUGGAUGCAUGGGACCUGAUCUGGUAGUAGCCAAGCGAUGGGGUGACGCAGGAAGGUAGCUGAGCCAGUCAGUGGUAAUACUGGUGUAAGCCUGUAGGGCGAACGGUAGGCAAAUCCGCCGUUCAUC
rnacentral:rRNA from 1 species